UAACAGCAGUUGAGACGGGUAACGCCAGAAUAAAUCCCGACUUGUUUAUUGAGACUCAUUGAGGAGCAGUACCGGCGCUGGCCGGGAGGGGGCGCAGGGCACCCAGGCGUCCUUCCGGGGCGGUGCUGACAGAGACCCCGCCCCCUCGCAAGUUCAACACGGCGUUUCUGCGCUGCAGGGAUUUCAAAACGAAUUUCUGGAUUUAUUUUAAAAUGUGUUUUAAUGUUUGUUUUCGACGGGGAUAGCGCACUACAGUGCCCUGAACGAUUAAGGGCGUAAUUACUGCUCGCAUUCAAUUGUUGUGCUCAAGCUUUUACUGAACUGCACUGAUGUUAAAGUAAUCACGUUGCGGGAAGAGAAAUGCACAGAAAAUGUACGGUACGGUCAUCAAUAUUUACUCGAUUAUAUUUUGUGUGCCCAAUUAAUCGAUUGCUAUUUUGAGGCUUAACUGACAGCCCUAUUGUCCUCCCUGUCCCCUCCUCUCUCCUGUCUUGUCCUCCCCCUGUCCCCUCCCGUGCUGUCUUGUCUGUGGUAUUCUUGCUGUUGUCUUUGAUCUGUUUUGCAGACGGAAGAUAUCUGACAGUCUGAUGCAUUUCCUCAGGAGGACUUGGUCUUCUAGCACCCAGGACCAGCUCAGUGGGUUCCAUGUAAUUGAGUCCUCAGUCUCAGUGGGUAAAUCUCCUGGUUAAAUGUAGUCUUUUAUUUCAAGCUGUGCAUCACCCUGUAUAUUGAAUUAGUGUCUUGGUAUGUUUUAUUUUACAGGGACUUCCUGUUCCUUAAUAGUUUUACUACCCAUUUGAUUAGGCACAGUGUGUACCAAUAACAAGCCCAAGAAUGUCUUAUUAAACUUGGAGUAAAAGCAGGAAUGGAUCUAACACCUGUGGAACAGGAGUGUUAUUACCAUCCCUAUGUAAAGCACUCUGGAGUGCCUUUAUUGAUGUGAAGUGUGCUGUAUAAAUAAAGAUUGUA